UGAGGUCUCUGAAGAAUAACAGAGGAAAAUGAACAAAGGAACACCAGAAUAUUCAUGGGAAAAGGACAACAAGAUGCAUAGGAGCAGAGCUGAAAAUAAGGUGUUGCAUAAUCAUAGAUAUGAAGCAGAAACAAAGAGCAGUCUUCAAGUUUUUGACUAAAGAAGGAUGUGCUGCUGGUCAUAUCAACAGAGGACUCAGAAAUGUGUAUGUUUAGGCAACAACUGAUGAGAAACUGCAAAGAUUGGUGAAAAAUGUCAGAAUAAAUAUUGAAGAAAACCAUAAAGUGGAAGAUCAUCAACGCAGUCACCAAUGCCAACCAAAACUGAGUGGACAACAUGAUUGACACAAACCAGUGUAUAACAAUCUGAGACAGUGGAGAAGACUUUGGCUGUGGUUACAGGAGUGUCAAGAUUAUUAUUCACAACCAUAUAUACAGGAAAGUGUGUGUGCCAAGUGUAUUCUUCAUCAAUUAGCAGCUGAUUUGUAAGAGAAGAGACUGUACAUAUAUUUGGAACUACUGGUAGCACCCGAAGCCCAUGAGGAUACGAAAUGUUUGCACUGGUGAUAAGAUGUGAGCAUACAUGUAUGAACCAGAGACCACUGAUGGACAAUAUUUUGAAUAGUACAAUGAUGCAUACAAAAAGACAGAUCUCACCACAGUGACAAGAAAAUUAGGACAACUAGAACUGGUAAAGAGAUAGUAAACCCUUUGAACUACAUUUCUCAAACCAAAGACAGAUAUAAUGCAACCCGAUUAAGAAAACCUUUUCCAAUAUAUCCAUAAAAAAGAAAGAGUGUGAGAAAGGCUGAGGUCAUCUCAUAAAGAAGUUGUAAAGUUCAAAGAUAAACUAGAGAGCAAAACAUUUCCUAGCCAUGUACUCCUCUCAAAUAUUUAAUUGAGCUAACAUAUUGGUCAAGUAAACUGCUAAAGAAUUUUGAAAUAUAUACACAUAUAUAUGCACCCUUAAUAAUUUACUGCCCAUGGUUGAUAGUUCUAAGAAUAAAGGGUUAUUUCACUGGAAUUCCUAAUUGCUGCCAUGUUUUCUUGAGAAAAGAAACCAGAGAUUAUGUUUUCACAUGUUUGAAUCUGUUAAGUCAAAGAAACAGAAAAAACUGCAUCUGAAUUUUUAGAUACUAAUCACCAAAGAGUAGGCUAAUGCUCAGAGAAAUUAUGAAAACCUUUUGCUGUAAGCAAAAAAGGGCCCUAAAAUGUAUUGUAGAAACUAUGAGAAGCUAUAUUAUUAAUUGUACUAAUCAUAUAAUAAAUAAAACUGAAAUAAAUCAAGACCGGCGGCUGGAAGAGGAGCUUUUCCUAUCAUGAAAAUUCUUGGUAACAGUCCUCUUCUUCUAAAAGUGUUAAAUAAAAAUGAGGAUUUCUGUAGAACAAGUUUUCCUGCUUUUUGCAGGGGGUUGGACUGGAUGGCUCGUGAGGUCUCUUCCAACUCUACGAUACUAUGAUUCUAAGUUGGUUAGUGAAGCUUGAUCAUUAGGAAAGAGGAGCUCUGACUGUAGAAAAGGGUGAGAAUGUAAACAAUGCCUUGCAAGGACAAUUACUCCUUUGUCUUGGAAAAUCAGGCAAGGAAAAUGUGAUUAAGACCUAAAUAUCUCUCAGUAUCAGGAAACACCUCUUUAUCAUUAACUUAUUUUGGAAGUUGCAAUCCUUCCCACCUGUUCUUGGGAGUGAUUUCUCAAUCAGAUCCCAAAGCAAUUCAAAUUCAGCAAACCUAUCAUACCGUUCAAGAUACACCAGAAUAUAAGUUGAAGAAAAUAAUCAAGAGGCAUAAAAUAUUGGCAAAACCAUGUCCAACGGUUAUAUGAAUUUACAUCCAAGUGGCAGCAAUCCACUUGGAUGUAAACCCAAUUAAAUUCAAUGCACUGAAUUAAACAUGCCUAAAAUGUUGCUAUUAAGAUCCUGAAAUUCUAAUGAUCUUUUAUUAAAGAGGGCAAUUCAACUUUU